rnacentral:rRNA from 1 species
AACGGGUGAGUAACACGUGAGUAACCUGCCCUUAACUCUGGGAUAAGCCUGGGAAACUGGGUCUAAUACCGGAUAUGACUCCUCAUCGCAUGGUGGGGGGUGGAAAGCUUUAUUGUGGUUUUGGAUGGACUCGCGGCCUAUCAGCUUGUUGGUGAGGUAAUGGCUUACCAAGGCGACGACGGGUAGCCGGCCUGAGAGGGUGACCGGCCACACUGGGACUGAAACACGGCCCAAACUCCUACGGGAGGCAGCAGUGGGGAAUAUUGCACAAUGGGCGCAAGCCUGAUGCAGCGACGCCGCGUGAGGGAUGACGGCCUUCGGGUUGUAAACCUCUUUCAGUAGGGAAAAAGCGAAAGUGACGGUACCUGCAAAAAAAGCGCCGGCUAACUACGUGCCAGCAGCCGCGGUAAUACGUAGGGCGCAAGCGUUAUCCGGAAUUAUUGGGCGUAAAGAGCUCGUAGGCGGUUUGUCGCGUCUGCCGUGAAAGUCCGGGGCUCAACUCCGGAUCUGCGGUGGGUACGGGCAGACUAGAGUGAUGUAGGGGAGACUGGAAUUCCUGGUGUAGCGGUGAAAUGCGCAGAUAUCAGGAGGAACACCGAUGGCGAAGGCAGGUCUCUGGGCAUUAACUGACGCUGAGGAGCGAAAGCAUGGGGAGCGAACAGGAUUAGAUACCCUGGUAGUCCAUGCCGUAAACGUUGGGCACUAGGUGUGGGGGACAUUCCACGUUUUCCGCGCCGUAGCUAACGCAUUAAGUGCCCCGCCUGGGGAGUACGGCCGCAAGGCUAAAACUCAAAGGAAUUGACGGGGGCCCGCACAAGCGGCGGAGCAUGCGGAUUAAUUCGAUGCAACGCGA